AGGAGAGACCUCUGCUGCAAGGGCCCCACUCUCUCUAGUAAACGAAGCACAAUACCUCCUGAUCAACAGAACAAGUAUUUUGCAGCUGAGAGAUAAAGUUGUGGAAAGGUAAGUGCUUCCUCACCUGAAAAGGCACAUUUCCUUGUGUUGCCUCGUUUUGUCCUCUCCAUGAGCAAGACUUCUUCUGGCCCAACCUCCUUAAUGCUUCACUUGUACAAAGACUACUGUAGAUGCACAAUUAUGGCAACUAUUAUUCUUAAGAAAAAAAUAAGAAUGUGGGAUGAGCAUCUGCUGGAUCAGGCCAGGAGCUUUUCUAGUCCAGUGUCUAGUCCAUUGUCCACACAGUAUUCCAGGUGUGGUCUGGCCAAGGCAGAAUAGAGUAGUACUAGAUUUAGAGACUAGACUUCUAUUGAUGCAUUAGCUUUUUUUGCUACAGAAUCACAUUGUUGACUCAUGUUGCAGUCUACUAAGACUUCUAGCUCUUACAUAGGUGCAGCUGGUUAUUUCAGGCUGAAAGGGACAAGUGGGACUUAGAAGAACAGAAAGAACAAUCCCUUCUCAUGGGCUCCAGUGUUGCUGCAAUUUGGGGAUUUUUUAAAACGGGGAAUUUUGUGACGCAUUUACCUAGACUUGGGAAGGUUUAAGAUGGCAGCCCUCGUCUGACCAUACCACCCGUAGGUGCCAACUCUCUAUGGCUGAGGGGAUGGAGCUGCCCCCCCAACCUUGAGGGGGCAGGCUUUGCUGUGGCAGGCUUUGCCAGGCCUUCCGCACCUGCCUGCGAUGAGCCCCUUUGGGCUUUCACACGCCAGCAGCGGACCAUGAGAACUUGUUGCAGGCUGGUUGCAUUACUUUCAGGUAAAUGAAAUGUUUAAAAAGAUAUUAAUGAAAGCUGAUAUGCAGAAAAAGACUCAAAGUUCCAAACAGAGAUAAUAAAUAAUGAAUAUAAAACUCUGUCAAAAAUGUAUAAGAUACUGUUAGAAUGGUUUGCGAAAGACGAAGAGGUUAAAUCGGCAAUGAUACAGUGGGCCAAAGACUUUGGACAUAACAUUCAAUUUGAAGAUUGGGAAAAAUUAUGGAAGAAAAGUUUAAAAUUUACUGUAUGCAUGGGGUUGAAGGAAAAUGUAAUGAAAAUGUUUUACAGAUGGUAUAUCACUCCGGUAAAAUUGGCAAAAAUGUAUAAAACAUGUUGUCAGAGCUGGCUCCAGGUCCCAGCUCACAGAGGACCAACGCUAGCCGGCAGUAAUGUACAAAAGUCUUUAUUGAAGUACAGUUUCCAUUUUCAAGCCGCAGCGCCCCAGCUCUACGGCUAGGGGUUAGAUCGGCGAAGCUCCAUCUGAGUCUCCGCCCCCUGUACACCAGUUUAAGAUUCUAGCCUUACUCCACCUCUUACGUCUCUCCUUUCUCCUCUGGGUCCUGCUACCCCCCGGGGUCCCUUCCUUCCUGGAUUCUUCUGACGCUGACCCCCCUGUCUCCUCCCCCUCUUUCGGCGGGCUUUGGGACCUGGCUCCCUAUCCGGGCUGCCAACUGCGCCGCCCUCCUGUACAUUUGAACUUGGCGCGCGCGCCCAGCCUUCAACCUUCCUCUCGACCGUUUCCUCGCUCCCCGAUGGAGGCGUGGCCAAUCCUGACUCAUGUCCUCCCACUGGCAGUGCGCCGCCUGAUCCCGAUGCCUGGGACCCCUCCCCUACUGCACUCUGGUGUGGACGCUGGUCCUGAUUUCCAACUGCUGCUCUCUGAGUCCCCUCUGGCCCCUUCUUCCUGGGGUGUCCCCUCGGCACCCCCUUGCUCUGACCAAGGGAGCCCCUUUCUGUGAAUCUUCCGAUUCGCUGGAAAGACUCAGAGACCUCGGACCGCUGUCAUCGCUAACAUUUCCUUCGGACUCCUCCCCUCGCUCUCUAUUUCCUCCCUUGCCUGUGCCUCUGCUCCAGAACCCCCGUCAUCCCUCCCCCCCUCGAAGCCCCCCAUUCCACCCUCCCCACCGUCAGGUGUGGGUACUGGGUGCUCCGUCGUUGUGGGGUGAGUGCCGGAUACAGUUCGUCCCCCGUGGCGUGCAUCCAGCCGGAUAAGUCCGGCUCGUCCUCCGUGCUCUCGCCGACCUCAAUUUCCUCUGCUUCCAUCUCUUUGCCGCCGUGCUCGAACCCAAGGUCCUCCCCCAACACGUCCAUGUCCGUCUCUCCUCCUGUCUCCUCCGGGGACGUUGCCUGCCAAGGACCCCCCAGCCACUUCCUGCGCCACUGCUCCUCUGGUUGAUUGUCCCACCAAUAGGAACGGUCUGAGGCAGACCCCGAGGGUGAUCCCUCCGGGGAACGUGUUUCUAGUGCCGGUUCCUCGUCCGAGGUGAACCCCUGGAAUGUGCUAGCUGAAAAUGUGGGUGUGAAAAGCCAGUCGUCGAAAUACUCGGCUGGCAUGGGCCUGUGUGGGAAAAGGGCAUGAAACUCGUCCUUGAGAAAAGGUUCGUCCAAGGCAUGGUCUGGCACCCAACUGUUGGCGCUGGCCGGGGUACCUUCUCUGGCGAGAAGAUAUUCUACUCCCUCUUCCCCCCAUCUCGAGUCUAAAAUCUCUGUGACUUCGUUGACGGGUUCCCGCCUUGGCGACCCCCAUUGUGGGCGUUUCCCUGAACGGGUCUGGUGCCGUUCCUGGCUCCUGAAAUCUAUGAGGUGCUUUGUAGGGCGUGAGCACUGAUCUAUGGAAAACUGGGUGCAUUCUGGAUCCCUCCGGCAGUGUCAACCGGAAGGCCACUGGAUUGACCUGUGCCUCGACUUGGUAGGGUCCUAGCUGCUUAUGCCCUAGCUUCUUCUUCGCUAACGAUCUGGCCGGCACUGCCUGGGCUGCUAACCAAACCCAGUCUCCCACCUGUAUGUCUUCCCCAACCCUUCUGUGCUUGUCAGCCUGCAGUUUGUAUGCGUGCUUUGCUAGUUCUAACUGCCUCCGAGCUGUUCGUGAACCUCCUGCAACUCUGAUGCUAAGGCUUCCGCUGCCUGUGGCUCCCCUCCCCGCUCUCGCUAAUCCCGGGAAGGUUCUGGGAUGCCUCCCGUUGUUGGCGAAGAACGGUGUCACCCCCGUGGACACGUGCUUCGUGUUGUUGUAGGCGAACUCAGCGAGCGGCAGGUAGUCCACCCAUGUUGCCGGCUGCUGAUUUGCGUAGCAUCGCAGGUACUGCUGCAUGAUGGCGCUGACUCGCUCCGCUUGUCCGUUCGUCUGCGGGUGUCUCGCCGACGCUAGGUUGAUCUUGACGUUCAGGAAACCCAUCAGCUUCUGCCAGAAGUUCGAGAUGAACUGUCGCCCCCGGUCGGACAGGAUAGACCGUGGCAGACCGUGAACCCUGAACACGUGGUCUAUGAACAGUUUGGCGGUCUGUUCCGCCGUGGCCACCUUCGCGCACGGAAUGAAGUGGGCCAUUUUGGUGAACAUGUCCACCACCACUAGCACUGCCGUCUUGCCACUCGAGCUGGGUAGAUCCGUGACAAAGUCCAGGGCCACCCUCUCCCACGGUUCGAGCGGUGUCCGCAGCGGUUCGAGCAGUCCCGCCGGCGGUUUGUGCACUGACUUGGCCCUUUGGCAGGUGUCGCACCUCGAGACGUAAUCCGCGACUUCCAAACUCAUCUUGGUCCACAAAAAAUCUCUGGCUACUAAUUAUACCGUCUUCUCUUUGCCAACGUUCCCAGCUGUGGUUGCUUCGUGCAACUGCUGCAGUACUUUCUCGAUGCUGUCGUCUCCCGGUACGUAGAGGGCCCCUCUGCGGAUGAGCAAUCCGUCGCAUAUCUGGAACUCGUCGUCCUCCGCCGUGCCCCUUUGCACCUCUGCCAUCUUUGCUUGCGCGAAGGGGUCCUCCUGCAGUGCUCGACGUACAGCAUCCAGGUCCACGGUUGCUGAAGCGCACGCCCACGCUUCGGUGCGAAAAUGUGCUUGGCCGCUGCUGGUGCCGCCUCCUCGAGGUAUUGCGGCUUUCUGGACAGUGCAUCCGCCAUGAUGUUGUUGUCGCCUGGGAUGUACUCUAUCCUGAAGUCGAAAUCCGCAAAGAACUCCGCCCAUCGUAUGUGCCUCUGGUUCAGGAACCUUGCCGUGCGCCAGUACUCCAGGUUUUUAUGGUCCGUGCGGACCUGCACUGUGUGUUUGGCUCCAAUGAGGAAGUGCCGCCACGCCUUGAAUGCUGCAUGAAUGGCCAGCAACUCCCUGUCCCAGAUGGUGUAGUUCUGCUCUGACUUGCUGAGCUUCCUGGAGUAGAAGGCACACGGUCUCCAGUCCCCAUGCGGGUCUUGCUGCAACAGUACUGCUCCCACGGCUCUGUCUGAGGCGUCCGUUUCAACCCUCAUCGGUCUGCUGGGAUUCACAUGCAGUAGCUGCUCUUCGGACGAGAAGAGACGCUUGAGUUUCUGAAAGGACUGCUCCGCUUGCUCCGUCCAGAUGAACUUCUUCUUCUUGGAGCUGAGCGUGUCGGUAAUGGCCGCCGUCUGCAUCGCGAACCCCUUGAUGAACUUGCGGUAAAAGUUGGCGAAACCGACAAACCGCUGGACCUCCUUCCGAUUGCGCGGGCUCUUCCAGUCCAACACUGAGCGAACCUUGGCGCUGUCCAUGGCGAGCCCCUUGUCCGACAACUUGUAGCCCAGGAAAUCUACCUCCUUCAUGUCGAACUGGCACUUCUCCAGCUUGGCGUACAGCCUGUGCUCCUGCAGUCUCUGCAGAACUUCCUUGACGUCUCCCUCGUGGGUCUCCUCUGAUUCUGAAAAUAUCAGGAUGUCGUCCAGGAAGCAGACGCAUUUCUUGUAGAGGAGACCCGCCAAUACGUGAUGCAUGAAGGCUUGAAAACAGUGGGAGCCAUUUUGUAAUCCAAAGGGCAUAACUCUGUAUUCAUAGGUGCCCAGGGGCGUGAACAUGGCAGUCUUCCAUUCGUCGCCCUCCCGUAUGCGAAUCAGGUUGUACGCCCUCGCAGAUCCAACUUUGUGAAAACGCGUCCUUUCCUCACCGUUGCGAGCAGGUCAUCUAUCUUGGGCAUGGGAAAGGCUGUGGGCUUGGUUUUCGAGUUCAAAAUUCUAUAGUCCACCACAAGCCUUUUUGGGGCGUGUCCUUCUUCUUCACAAAGAAUACAGGACUGCCCCCACUGCCUUCGACUCCUGGAUGAAACCGCGCUUCAAGUUGAGGUCUAUGAACUCCUGAGUUCCUGCAGCUCGUCUUCAGACAUGGAAUACAGUUUCCCGGUUGGCAGCGUCGCCCUGGCAGGAGGUCAAUCUUGCAGUCAUAGGACCUGUGGGGAGGUAGCUUGUCCGCUUCCUUCUCGCAGAAAACCUCCAAAAACGCUGCGUACUUGAGUGGCACUGCUUGCAGCGUGCCUAAUUGUAGCUGCGGGUCAUCCUCUUCCCCUUCCGGGCUAGGCAGAAUGCAAUGUUCCGCACAGUAUGAGGAGCCGAAGGUCAGUUGUCGCUGGUACCACGCCAAUGCUGGGCUGUGCCUGUGCAGCCAACUCAUGCCUAAUACUAUAGGCGUGUCCGACAGUUGGGUGACAUUGAAGCUGAUGACUUCUCGGUGAUUCCCAAUUUGCAUCAUCAUCGGAGGCGUUUGCUGCACCACCUGCCCCCCCAGCAAUUCCCUGCCAUCCACCGUGACAACUUUCAGAGGCAGCGUGGCUGGCAGGAGUGCUAUGUUGUGCUCUUGAAUGAAAUCCAGUCCUAUGAAGUCUGCGUUACUACCAGAGUCAAUGGUAAUCGGCACUUCCAUAGUGAGUCCAUUGGGUAGUUGGAGCGAUGCUGUGAGCUGCACCACUGGUUUGGGCGGGAGGGGGUCUGUGGGCUGCAAAAUCUCUGGGGACGGCUUCAUUGACUUGUCUGGCUGGGCCCCAGUGCCUCUUCCUCCAACCAGACUCUGUCGUUCCCUGCUGUGGUUCUCUGUGCUGAGUUGCGUCUGUUACUGUUGCUGAGGCUGCAGUGUGCUUGUGGAGCCUCUGGGGACACUCUUUCGCCAUGUGCUGAGCACUGUCGCAGAUGUAGCACUUCCUGUUCCCUCUAGGAGGCUUCGCUUGACUGCUCCCGGUGUUAGGGCUCUGGUUGCUGACUGAGCCCUGGCGCCUCCAAUCUCCAUCGGUUGCUCUCCCUCCUUGCGGAGGGGGGGAUUGCACACGCGCUGCAUCCUUGGGAAAGAGGGAGGUGCUCUCACUGGCGUACGUCCCCAACGUCCUUCUUCUCUGUUCCAUGGACGUUCUUCCAGACGCACCCCAAUUUGCAGCGCCCGCCGGACAACCUCCUGAGUGCUCUUUGGUCUCUCCCCCCUUGCAAUCUCAUCUUUCACAUUUGCAUUCAAGCCUUCCCAAAAAGGUCUCUGGCUGGGGCAGAAUCCUUCUCCCAUCCCAGCGCAUGGACUAAUGCAAAAAGCGGGAAUGGUACUGCCUUACACUGGCUCUGCCUUGUUUGAGCCCAUGUAUGUCUUUUCUGGCGAUAUCAAUGUCUAUAUUUGAUAAAAACACGAAUCCAUCGCUUUAAUGAAUGCAUCCGCAUUUUGGAGCGCCGGAUCCUUAUCUCUCCACAGAUUGCGCAGCCACGCUUUAGCUUCCCCAUGCAAAUGGGACAAGAUAAACCCCACCUUCUCUUGCUCAUCUCUAAAGUCUUUAUCCAGCAGUUCCAGCGCAAACAGCACGUCUGCUCGGAAGUUAGGGUACUGCUGCAAAUUCCCAUCGAAAUGAGAUACCAGGCUGCCUCCUCUUUUCCCCAGCCCAAUCCCCUCUGAUUUGGGUCCCGGUUGCCCCUGCUUAGCAAGCACUUCCAACCUGGCUUGGAGAUCCCUGCAGGCGGCAGCCGCUUCCUCUUCCCUUUUCCUGGAUGCGAGUACCUCCGCGUUGAGUUGUGUCACUGCAUUUUGCAGGGCUGCUAGUUGCUGUUCUGUAGUCAUCUUGCCUGACUUUUGUGAGCUCGCGAAGCACCAAUCUUCUCCCCUCGCUGCGUCCACUCACGUUACGAGGUUUUUGGUGCAAAACUUUAAGAGAUGGAGCUUACUGUCAGAGCUGGCUCCAGGUCCCAGCUCACAGAGGACCAACGCUAGCCGGCAGUAAUGUACAAAAGUCUUUAUUGAAGUACAGUUUCCAUUUUCAAGCCGCAGCGCCCCAGCUCUACGACAAGGGGGUAGAUCGGCGAAGCGCCAACUGCGUCUCCGCCCCCUGUACACCAGUUUAACAUUCUAGCCUUACUCCACCUCUUACGUCUCUCCUUUCUCCUCUGGGUCCUGCUACCCCCGGGUCCCUUCCUUCCUGGAUUCUUCUGACGCUGACCCCUGACUCCUCCCCUCUUUCGGCGGGCUUUGGGACCUGGCUCCCUAUCCGGGCUGCCAACUGCGCCGCCCUCCUGUACAUUUGAACUUGGCGCGCGCGCCCAGCCUUCAACCGUCCUCGCCACCGUUGCCUCGCUCCCCGAGGGCGGCGUUGCCAAUCCUGACGCAUGUCCUCCCACUGGCAGUGCGCCGCCUGAUCCCGAUGCCUGGGACCCCUCCCCUACUGCACUCUGGUGUGGACGCUGGUCCUGAUUUCCAACUGCUGCUCUCUGAGUCCCCUCUGGCCCCUUCUUCCUGGGGUGUCCCCUCGGCACCCCCUUGCUCUGACCAAGGGAGCCCCUUUCUGUGAAUCUUCCGAUUCGCUGGAAAGACUCAGAGACCUCGGACCGCUGUCAUCGCUAACAUUUCCUUCGGACUCCUCCCCCUCGCUCUCUAUUUCCUCCCUUUCCUGUGCCUCUGCUCCUGAACCCCUGACACAUGUAAUAAGUGUUGGAAAUGUAAAGAAAAAGAGGGAACUUUCUACCACAUGUGGUGGGAAUGUAAGAAAGUAAAGAGUUUCUGGGAAGCAAUAUAUAAUGAAUUGAAAAAAAUGUUAAAAUACACUUUUGUGAAGAAACCAGAAGCUUUUCUUUUAGGGAUUACAGGAAAAGAUAUAAGAAGAAAAGACUAUAAACUUUUUCAGUAUGCAGUUACGGCAGCAAGAAUUCUAUUGGCUCAGAAAUGGAAACAAGAGGAAAUACCGACGAUUCAAGAAUGGAGAAUGAAAUUGACGGACUAUGCGGAACUGGAUAAACUGACCGGGAAAAUAAGAUAUGCCCGAAACCAAAAGUUCAUCGAGGAUUGGGGAAAAUUUGCAGAUUAUCUGAAAAAUAUAUGUGAGGUGCAAGCAACGCUAGUGGGGUUUCAAGAAGCACUGUAAAAUUUUAAGAGGUAUUGCUGAAAGUAAAUAGAAAAGGAAGGGAAGACAAAUGGCAAUGCAAAUAAAGGAAUGCGUACUGAAGGGUAAAAAUGGAUGAUUACCAGAG